rnacentral:rRNA from 1 species
GAUGAACGCUGGCGGCGCGCCUAAUACAUGCAAGUCGAGCGAAUGGAUUAAGAGCUUGCUCUUAUGAAGUUAGCGGCGGACGGGUGAGUAACACGUGGGUAACCUGCCCAUAAGACUGGGAUAACUCCGGGAAACCGGGGCUAAUACCGGAUAACAUUUUGAACCGCAUGGUUCGAAAUUGAAAGGCGGCUUCGGCUGUCACUUAUGGAUGGACCCGCGUCGCAUUAGCUAGUUGGUGAGGUAACGGCUCACCAAGGCAACGAUGCGUAGCCGACCUGAGAGGGUGAUCGGCCACACUGGGACUGAGACACGGCCCAGACUCCUACGGGAGGCAGCAGUAGGGAAUCUUCCGCAAUGGACGAAAGUCCGACGGAGCAACGCCGCGUGAGUGAGGAAGGCUUUCGGGUCGUAAAACUCUGUUGUUAGGGAAGAACAAGUGCUAGUUGAAUAAGCUGGCACCUUGACGGUACCUAACCAGAAAGCCACGGCUAACUACGUGCCAGCCGCCGCCGUAA